GACGAACGCUGGCGGCGUGCCUAACACAUGCAAGUCGAGCGAGGAGAUUCCUUCGGGAUGAUCCUAGCGGCGGACGGGUGAGUAACACGUGGGCAACCUGCCUCAUAGAGAGGAAUAGCCUCCCGAAAGGGAGAUUAAUACCUCAUAACAUUGCAGUCUCGCAUGGGACAGAAAUUAAAGGAGUAAUCCGGUAUGAGAUGGGCCCGCGGCGCAUUAGCUAGUUGGUGAGGUAACGGCUCACCAAGGCGACGAUGCGUAGCCGACCUGAGAGGGUGAUCGGCCACAUUGGGACUGAGACACGGCCCAGACUCCUACGGGAGGCGGCAGUGGGGAAUAUUGCACAAUGGGGGAAACCCUGAUGCAGCAACGCCGCGUGAGUGAUGACGGCCUUCGGGUUGUAAAGCUCUGUCUUCAGGGACGAUAAUGACGGUACCUGAGGAGGAAGCCACGGCUAACUACGUGCCAGCCGCCGCCGUAACAC
rnacentral:rRNA from 1 species